GACGGAGGGUGCAAGCGUUGUCCGGAAUUAUUGGGCGUAAAGCGUGCGUAGGCGGUGCGCUAAGUCAGGGGUUAAAGACCGGGGCUCAACCCCGGGAGUGCCUCUGAAACUGGCGCGCUAGAGUUCGGCAGAGGAAAGUGGAAUUCCCAGUGUAGCGGUGAAAUGCGUAGAUAUUGGGAGGAACACCAGUGGCGAAAGCGACUUUCUGGGCCGCAUCUGACGCUGAGGCACGAAAGCGUGGGGAGCAAACAGG
rnacentral:misc_RNA from 1 species